CCAUGUUGGCCGGGCCAGUCUCGAACUCCUGACGUCAAGUGAUCUUCCCGCCUCGACUCCUGACAUCAAGUGAUCUUCCCGCCUCGGCCUCCCAGAGUGCUGAGAUUACAGACGUGAACCCAUGCCUGGCCAGGAAUUUUGUUUUUUAGGAAGGAUUUCUACUAAUGGAAUUCCUGGCCUUGAGAGGAUGUUACUUUCGAAGGAAAGGAUUUUUUUUGUUAUUAAAAGAGCCACCUAAGCUGAAGAUUCCCUUGAGAACAAGUACUGUCCUGCGGUUUCAUGGCCUUUCUUCCAUUUGUGGUUCUUGCGAAGUGGAAUUUAAAUGACAUCUUACCAAGAUGGAUAAACCCUAGUUUCCCAGUGCUGGAAUAUAGAAAAUGGAUGGACAAGUAAAUCCCACUCAGCACCCAUAGUCCAGGCAUGGGGAUCUCAACACACCUGAG
rnacentral:sRNA from 1 species